rnacentral:lncRNA from 1 species
CUGGCCCCAAAACAUGCGAUCUAUUUCCAUUUUCUUCUGGAAAACCACUUCCCUGAGCACUUGACAGCCACCCCUCACUCUCGCCGCCUCCCGCCGCCUCCCGCCGCCUCCCUCGCCAUGCUGGAUUUCGGAUGGAGCUUCCCUAUCAUCUUAUACUGAACACAUUGCGAGAUGGUAGAGAGGGUGGUCCUCUUGGGGAGCACAAUUGCGAGGUUUUCGCGAAGGUUU